UGGGGAAUUUUUCGCAAUGGGGGAAACCCUGACGAAGCAACGCCGCGUGGGGGAUGAAGGUCCUCGGAUUGUAAACCCCUGUCGACCGGGACGAAAGCUAUUGGUCCCAAUACGACCGAUAGUCGACUGUACCGGUGGAGGAAGCCACGGCUAACUCUGUGCCAGCAGCCGCGGUAAUACAGAGGUGGCAAGCGUUGUUCGGAAUUACUGGGCGUAAAGGGCGCGUAGGCGGCUGCUCAAGUCAGGCGUGAAAGGCCUGGGCUCAACCCGGGAAUUGCGCUUGAGACUGGGCUGGCUUGAGUGCGGGAGAGGAUGGUGGAAUUCCCAGUGUAGAGGUGAAAUUCGUAGAUAUUGGGAAGAACACCGGUGGCGAAGGCGGCCAUCUGGACCGCAACUGACGCUGAGGCGCGAAAGCGUGGGGAGCAA
rnacentral:rRNA from 1 species